rnacentral:rRNA from 1 species
CCUACGGGGGGCAGCAGUGGGGAAUAUUGCACAAUGGGGGGAACCCUGAUGCAGCGACGCCGCGUGGAGGAAGAAGGUCUUCGGAUUGUAAACUCCUGUCAUUCGGGACGAUAAUGACGGUACCGAAUGAGGAAGCCACGGCUAACUACGUGCCAGCAGCCGCGGUAAUACGUAGGUGGCGAGCGUUGUCCGGAAUUACUGGGCGUAAAGGGCGCGUAGGCGGUCUACUAAGUCAGAUGUGAAAACCGACGGCUUAACCGGAGGAUUGCAGUUGAUACUGGGUUACUUGAGGCAAGGAGAGGAAGGUGGAAUUCCCGGUGUAGCGGUGAUAUGCGUAGAUAUCGGGAGGAACCCCAGUGGCGAAGGCGGCCUUCUGGUCUUGACCUGACGCUGAGGAGCGAAAGCCAGGGUAGCGAACGGGAUUAGAUACCCGUGUAGUCAC